AGUAGUCCAGCCCAUGCUGGAGAGCAGAGGAAUGAGAGUCCUAGGCUGUGUUUGUUCUACUGAUGAUACCUUUUAAGCUGAACGUCACAGAAUUAAUGGUCUUCAAUCCAGUCUUCAGGCUGCUGAGCUCCUCCUUUUGUACAGUCCUUUUCCAGAAGCACAUCUCUGAUUUAUGCAGCUUGACAAAAUCCUAAACCUGCAGUCUCCUUGUCCUCCUGUUAAAUGGCUUGCAUGUGUCUCCAUCCUCACCAUGCCUUCUCAGAGAGCACUGGUGUUGUGCAUCUCUCCAUCCCUCCGAGGUGCAUUUGGCCUUCCUUCUCUGCGAUUCCUCCCCUUCCCUUUUUCCUGACACAGACUCAAGUUUUAAAAAUCCAUUUUCCUUCUCUGAGCCACCAUUAUGCACAAAUACUUCUCUGCUCUUCUUCACAUGCCACCAAUUUCCUCCAGAACCUGUCACUCUCAUCUGGCUACUUAACUGUGUAAUGAUAUGAAAUAUUCACUCUAAUGAGCCCCUGCUGUGGAUACCACUUGAUCCUGCCUUGUUUUUGUUCUUUUUGACUCUGACCUCACUGAAUGUUGUACUUCGACUUUCCUUCUCCCAAAUUUCAAACUGCUUCCUGAAGCUACACCAUACGUGCAUAUGUACAGCUCAUACAACAUACGUCUUUUCUGCUGAUGUUUUCAGAAGGAACAAGGGCUAUCUUGAUGGGAAUUUUCAGCAAAUACCACGUGAUCAGUCUCGG
rnacentral:lncRNA from 1 species